UCCACACCUCCACCUACAUCCAAACCUGCACCCACACCUCCACCUACAUCUACAUCACUCUCCUCUCCUGUUCUCUCUGUGAUGCUGUUGCUUAAAUCAGUCUGUAUCGGGGUCCUGCUGCUGUUACUGGUUCAAAUGGUGAGACGUGUUUGUAGGAAACCUGAAGCCGAUGGGGGAGAAGUUGGAGAGAUGACAUCAAAAUCUCAAAUCAUCAGCAGCCAAUCAGAGGAAGCAGAGACUUUAAACCAGAGCCAGACGUCAUCGACUCCUCACUGAAGCUCCACCAGUCCAACCACUGGAAUCCAGCUGCUGCUCUCUGACUGCUGCACACACACCUGAGGACACUGACUUGGAGAUAUUCUGUGUUUUCUUCUCAAUAUAUUAAUCUUGUACAACCACAGAGG